GAUGAACGCUGGCUACAGGCUUAACACAUGCAAGUCGAGGGGAAACGACGGGGAAGCUUGCUUCCCCGGGCGUCGACCGGCGCACGGGUGAGUAACGCGUAUCCAACCUGCCUCUGACUGAGGGAUAACCCGUCGAAAGUCGGCCUAAUACCUCAUGGCAUCGUCUGCGGGCAUCCAACGACGAUUAAAGAUUUCAUCGGUCAGGGAUGGGGAUGCGUCUGAUUAGCUUGUUGGCGGGGUAACGGCCCACCAAGGCUACGAUCAGUAGGGGUUCUGAGAGGAAGGUCCCCCACAUUGGAACUGAGACACGGUCCAAACUCCUACGGGAGGCAGCAGUGAGGAAUAUUGAGCAAUGGGCGGGAGCCUGAACCAGCCAAGUAGCGUGCAGGAUGACGGCCCUAUGGGUUGUAAACUGCUUUUAUGCGGGGAUAAAGUGAGGGACGUGUCCUUCAUUGCAGGUACCGCAUGAAUAAGGACCGGCUAAUUCCGUG
rnacentral:rRNA from 1 species